rnacentral:lncRNA from 1 species
GCAUCUCUCUUGAUCCAGGUCUGAUUUCUCAUUAUUUCUUCGUUCUUUCUCAUUUCUGAAUUCUCAUUCGUAAUAUGAAAAGAUCGUUACUUGACUUCUUCGUCGACGACGUUGUAAGGGAAGUUUGGGACCCAGAAAUUAAUGAAUUGAGAUCCUGAAUAACUUUUUUUCGGUGGGUUUGCUCUUCGGCGAAGGUGGGUUUCCUUUUCAAUUGUCUUUCCUUAUAUUCACUUUUGUAAUAGUUAUCGCACCAUGAGUACCAGAGCUGAGAAAGUAUAUGGUGACGCCAUAAGUAUCAAAGCUGAGGGAAACCUUAAAGAAAUAGGAUGGAUGGGCCUUAACUUAUCUCUGUUAUGUGCAUAUUGAUUCCGUUCACUUGUAUGUUUUUGGUUGCUUUAUUAUUUUAGUGGAAUCAGUUUGGUGUUGUAUUGGUUUUUCGCAUAUUAUUUUUCGCUCGAUUUGGGAUGGACUUGGAUUUGACGUUUCCAUAUUAGUUUGAUUUGGGAUUUUUUUUCGAUUUCAACUGAUUUUAUGUUUCCCCCUUUGUUGUUUACUAUUAUAUUGUUGUAAUCUGAUUUUUUGGGGUGUUCUAUUUCACCGGAGUUUCUGGUUUUAUGUGUGCAUAUUGUUCAUCUUAUUCGUAAAUUAGGUUUUGUUGUUUGGUUAUUCCAUUUCAGCUUGAUUCAGUGCUUGUUGCUUAUUUAAUCUGUUUUAACUGUUGUGGUGUUCCUUCUUCAUGAUAUUGUCGUACUCUAGUCACGGUGGGCGCAAAUUUGAUUCAGUCUAAUUAUUUUUUGUUCUUCCGAGUUUUGGAGUGUUAUAUAAUCUGUUUUUGGCUGUUGUUGUGACGCCCCCAAAAUAGGUAUACAACACCCAUUCUGAGUCUCCAAAUACAUGGUACAGAAACAACUACAACUUUAUUAAUACAAUUAUCGUGCAAAAUACGACAACACAUAAACUGUGAGUUUAAAAACAAAUAUUGUCUUCUAGACAAUAUCAACACUCAAAUAAGUCUUCAUUACAAUUAUUGAUACACUAUUUUACAAAAUAAUGAGGACUACUAAAACGACUUUCUAUAACCUUCAUUCCACACCCCGACUAGUACUCGCUACAUUCUCGCCUCCUGAGAAAAAAAAUGGAACAAAAAGGAAAAGGGUGAGCUCAACUAGCCCAGUAAAGAAUAUUAUGACUAAG